GGCUAGUUCUAGUGGUCUGUCAUCAACCAGGAGAGAUGGUGGAUUACUGAGAAAGCUUCCAAUUAGGGCAUACGACGACACCAGAACGAGCACGUACAUGAGCAAAGAUUCUUUUGACUUUUCAAGGCCAACUAGCUCUUCAUCUUACCUGACUAACCUGGUUCCACCUGCUGCACAGACGAAGACCAGGGCACCAGUAACUGCCCCACUUCUUCCAGGCAGUCUUUUACAGAAAAGCUCAUAUGCGGUACAAUCUAGUACCUAUCUUCUUUGCUCUCCAUGAAAUUUUGCUGCCUUCACUGCAACAUGACUUGGAUAGUUAAUUUCCUUUAGUGGCAAUCCUUAUAUAUCUUUUCAUUGUGUUCUAUGUGUAGUUAAGUUGAUAUUUACAUUAUAAAUGUGUGAAAGUUAUGUUUGGAAGAUGAUCCCUGUUGUCAAAUUAGGAUUGCCACAAUAUUUUCUUAGACUGAGAUGCCCUGAUCACAUGAAAUAAAUGACACCAAGAAUUGAAGUCCCCCUCCCCUCCCCUCCCCCCCAACCACACACAGACGUAAUUUUAUUUAGUAUCAGCUACUUGUUUUACUUAGUUUAACGAGUUUAGGUUUUCUUCUAUAAAUGUGUUUAUCCAUAAGAAUAUUAAUAGAUAUUUAUACACUGAAUACUUAGCUAAGGAUAAUGCUUAAGCCAUUCUAAUUUUUGUAGAUCCAUUCAUUACUUCUUACGAGCUUGAAAAUGCAAUGAAGCAAUGCAGUGUAAUUGUGAUAUGACGGUUGGUAGGAUGGAUAUUUGCAAGUUAGAGAUUACUAACAGCUGUAAUAUUGUUUUGCAGACAGCGGAGAGAUGGUAGUGCUGCCAAUGAUAUUGAUGGUAAAAGACAUGUACUUCAGUCUUUGAAGUUCUGCUAAAUUGUAAAUUGAGUUUUUGGCUAACUUAUUUUUUGUUAAUUUUGGUGCUUUUGAAUGAAUAAAGAUAUUCGUCUAAGUAAAGGUGAUCUCCGGUUCAAAAUCCUGCAAAAAAGUAAACUGAAGCAACGUCAAAAUGCCCUGCAGAAUGGAACGGACCUUCGAAACAUUCUGUCAAGGCCUGGUCAAUCUUCAUCGAAUAGCCUAGGUAUGCGGGCAAGGGUGCCUGAGCCAAAGGAGAUGAGGCUGCAGCAUACAGAUCCUAGGGAUGGUAGACAACAUUUUCCAGAGACACGUGAUGGUAGGCAGCUAAUGACUAUGACCAGGGAUUCUAGACAGGGCACCCCUGACUACAGAGAACAGAACAUACCUGGCCUUAGGGAGCAACGCAUGCCUGACCCCAGGCAAAAGCGCAUGCCUGAAUUCAGGGAAGCUAGACGAAGCUUUCCUGAACUAAAGGAUGUUAGUCGUAGCAUGCCCGAGCCAAGUCAUUCUACUAUAAUGGGGCCCAUGCCAGGCUCAAGAACUGCAAAUGCUGCGACCAAGGUGGAUUCGGUGAUUAAUUCUUAUUCUCCCUGGACUGUAGAUCGUUUAAGACGGAGAUCACCAGAUGAAACUUUGGCUAGUUCUAGUGGUCUGUCAUCAACCAGGAGAGAUGGUGGAUUACUGAGAAAGCUUCCAAUUAGGGCAUACGACGACACCAGAACGAGCACGUACAUGAGCAAAGAUUCUUUUGACUUUUCAAGGCCAACUAGCUCUUCAUCUUACCUGACUAACCUGGUUCCACCUGCUGCACAGACGAAGACCAGGGCACCAGUAACUGCCCCACUUCUUCCAGGCAGUCUUUUACAGAAAAGCUCAUAUGCGGUACAAUCUAGUACCUAUCUUCUUUGCUCUCCAUGAAAUUUUGCUGCCUUCACUGCAACAUGACUUGGAUAGUUAAUUUCCUUUAGUGGCAAUCCUUAUAUAUCUUUUCAUUGUGUUCUAUGUGUAGUUAAGUUGAUAUUUACAUUAUAAAUGUGUGAAAGUUAUGUUUGGAAGAUGAUCCCUGUUGUCAAAUUAGGAUUGCCACAAUAUUUUCUUAGACUGAGAUGCCCUGAU
rnacentral:lncRNA from 1 species